GACGAACGCUGGCGGCGUGCUUAACACAUGCAAGUCGAACGGAAAGGCCCUGCUUUUGUGGGGUGCUCGAGUGGCGAACGGGUGAGUAACACGUGAGUAACCUGCCCUUGACUUUGGGAUAACUUCAGGAAACUGGGGCUAAUACCGGAUAGGAGCUCCUGCUGCAUGGUGGGGGUUGGAAAGUUUCGGCGGUUGGGGCUGGACUCGCGGCUUAUCAGCUUGUUGGUGGGGUAGUGGCUUACCAAGGCUUUGACGGGUCGCCGGCCUGGGAGGGUUACCGGACACAUUGGGACUGAGAUACGGCCCAGACUCCUACAGGAGAGAGCAGUGGGGAAUAUUAGACAAUAAGCGGAAGCCAGAUGCAGCAACGCCGCGUGCAGGAUGACGGAAAUCGGGUUGUAGAACGCUUUCGCCUGUGACGAAGCGUGAGUGAAGGUAAUGAAUAAAGAAGCACCGGAUAACUACGUG
rnacentral:rRNA from 1 species